rnacentral:lncRNA from 1 species
CGGAACACCACCACCACCACCUCCUCCUCCUCCUCCUCCACCGCCUCCGCCACCGCCGCCGCCUCCGCCACCACCAGAUGGAGGGCUAGGCGUGUAUGGUGGGUAACCUGAAGAAGGCGGCGGUGUUAUUACAGGAGGAGGUGUUAUUAUUACAGGAGGGUUUACUACAGGAGGAGGAUUAAUGACUAUUGGUGGCAAAACCACUGGUGGGUUUUUUGUUGAAGGUGGUUUUGGGUGGCCGCCGUGGUGUGGUGGGUGCUUGGUGCUUGGUGGGUUAGGAUGAGGAACUUUUGGGUGG